rnacentral:rRNA from 1 species
GACGAACGCUGGCGGCGUGCUUAACACAUGCAAGUCGAACGGAAAGGCCCUGCUUUUGUGGGGUGCUCGAGUGGCGAACGGGUGAGUAACACGUGAGUAACCUGCCCUUGACUUUGGGAUAACUUCAGGAAACUGGGGCUAAUACCGGAUAGGAGCUCCUGCUGCAUGGUGGGGGUUGGAAAGUUUCGGCGGUUGGGGAUGGACUCGCGGCUUAUCAGCUUGUUGGUGGGGUAGUGGCUUACCAAGGCUUUGACGGGUAGCCGGCCUGAGAGGGUGACCGGCCACAUUGGGACUGAGAGACGGCCCAGACUCCUACGGGAGGCAGCAGUGGGGAAUAUUGCACAAUGGGGGGAAGUCUGAUGCAGCAACGCCGUGUGCGGGAUGACGGCCUUCUGGUGGUAAACCGCUUUCGCCUGUGACGAAGCGUGAGUGACGGUAAUGGGUAAAGAAGCACCGGCUAACUACGUG